rnacentral:rRNA from 1 species
CCAGAGUCUGAAUCAGCUUGUGUGUUAGUGGAACGGUCUGGAAAGUCCGACGGUACAGGGUGAUAGUCCCGUACACCAAAAUGCACAGGUUGUGAACUCGAAGAGUAGGGCGGGACACGUGGUAUCCUGUCUGAAUAUGGGGGGACCAUCCUCCAAGGCUAAAUACUCCUGACUGACCGAUAGUGAACCAGUACCGUGAGGGAAAGGCGAAAAGAACCCCGGCGAGGGGAGUGAAAAAGAACCUGAAACCGUGUACGUACAAGCAGUGGGAGCACCUUCGGGUGUGACUGCGUACCUUUUGUAUAAUGGGUCAGCGACUUAUAUUCUGUAGCAAGGUUAACCGUAUAGGGGAGCCGCAGGGAAACCGAGUCUUAACUGGGCGUUAAGUUGCAGGGUAUAGACCCGAAACCCGGUGAUCUAGCCAUGGGCAGGUUGAAGGUUGGGUAACACUAACUGGAGGACCGAACCGACUAAUGUUGAAAAAUUAGCGGAUGACUUGUGGCUGGGGGUGAAAGGCCAAUCAAACCGGGAGAUAGCUGGUUCUCCCCGAAAGCUAUUUAGGUAGCGCCUCGUGAACUCAUCUUCGGGGGUAGAGCACUGUUUCGGCUAGGGGGUCAUCCCGACUUACCAACCCGAUGCAAACUACGAAUACCGAAGAAUGUUAUCACGGGAGACACACGGCGGGUGCUAACGUCCGUCGUGAAGAGGGAAACAACCCAGACCGCCAGCUAAGGUCCCAAAGUCAUGGUUAAGUGGGAAACGAUGUGGGAAGGCACAGACAGCCAGGAUGUUGGCUUAGAAGCAGCCAUCAUUUAAAGAAAGCGUAAUAGCUCACUGGUCGAGUCGGCCUGCGCGGAAGAUGUAACGGGGCUAAACCAUGCACCGAAGCUGCGGCAGCGACACUAUGUGUUGUUGGGUAGGGGAGCGUUCUGUAAGCCUGCGAAGGUGACCUGUGAGGGUUGCUGGAGGUAUCAGAAGUGCGAAUGCUGACAUAAGUAACGAUAAAGCGGGUGAAAAGCCCGCUCGCCGGAAGACCAAGGGUUCCUGUCCAACGUUAAUCGGGGCAGGGUGAGUCGACCCCUAAGGCGAGGCCGAAAGGCGUAGUCGAUGGGAAACAGGUUAAUAUUCCUGUACUUGGUGUUACUGCGAAGGGGGGACGGAGAAGGCUAUGUUAGCCGGGCGACGGUUGUCCCGGUUUAAGCAUGUAGGCUGGUUAUCCAGGCAAAUCCGGAUAAUCAAGGCUGAGGUGUGAUGACGAAGCACUACGGUGCUGAAGUAACAAAUGCCCUGCUUCCAGGAAAAGCCUCUAAGCAUCAGGUAACAUCAAAUCGUACCCCAAACCGACACAGGUGGUCAGGUAGAGAAUACCAAGGCGCUUGAGAGAACUCGGGUGAAGGAACUAGGCAAAAUGGUGCCGUAACUUCGGGAGAAGGCACGCUGGUGUGUAGGUGAAGCCCCUGCGGGUGGAGCUGAGACCAGUCGAAGAUACCAGCUGGCUGCAACUGUUUAUUAAAAACACAGCACUGUGCAAACACGAAAGUGGACGUAUACGGUGUGACGCCUGCCCGGUGCCGGAAGGUUAAUUGAUGGGGUUAUCCGUAAGGAGAAGCUCUUGAUCGAAGCCCCGGUAAACGGCGGCCGUAACUAUAACGGUCCUAAGGUAGCGAAAUUCCUUGUCGGGUAAGUUCCGACCUGCACGAAUGGCGUAAUGAUGGCCAGGCUGUCUCCACCCGAGACUCAGUGAAAUUGAACUCGCUGUGAAGAUGCAGUGUACCCGCGGCAAGACGGAAAGACCCCGUGAACCUUUACUAUAGCUUGACACUGAACAUUGAGCCUUGAUGUGUAGGAUAGGUGGGAGGCUUUGAAGCGUGGACGCCAGUCUGCGUGGAGCCAACCUUGAAAUACCACCCUUUAAUGUUUGAUGUUCUAACGUUGGCCCCUUAUCGGGGUUGCGGACAGUGUCUGGUGGGUAGUUUGACUGGGGCGGUCUCCUCCCAAAGCGUAACGGAGGAGCACGAAGGUUAGCUAAUCCUGGUCGGACAUCAGGAGGUUAGUGCAAUGGCAUAAGCUAGCUUGACUGCGAGCGUGACGGCGCGAGCAGGUGCGAAAGCAGGUCAUAGUGAUCCGGUGGUUCUGAAUGGAAGGGCCAUCGCUCAACGGAUAAAAGGUACUCCGGGGAUAACAGGCUGAUACCGCCCAAGAGUUCAUAUCGACGGCGGUGUUUGGCACCUCGAUGUCGGCUCAUCACAUCCUGGGGCUGAAGUAGGUCCCAAGGGUAUGGCUGUUCGCCAUUUAAAGUGGUACGCGAGCUGGGUUUAGAACGUCGUGAGACAGUUCGGUCCCUAUCUGCCGUGGGCGCUGGAGAAUUGAGGGGGGCUGCUCCUAGUACGAGAGGACCGGAGUGGACGCAUCACUGGUGUUCGGGUUGUCAUGCCAAUGGCACUGCCCGGUAGCUAAAUGCGGAAGAGAUAAGUGCUGAAAGCAUCUAAGCACGAAACUUGCCCCGAGAUGAGUUCU